ACCUGGGCCGGGGCCCCGCUACCGCGCUCGGCCCCGCGGCGAGGCGAGAGGCGCUGCUCCCGCUCACGGCCCCGCUCCCCUCACGGCCUGCACCGCGCUGCCGCCGCCGCCGCCGCCGCCUCCUCGUCCUCGUCGUCCCCACCCGCCCGCCGAGUCGGCCCCGCAGCCGGCGGGCACGGCACGGCACGGCCCGCCCCGGCCAGGUGUGGGCGGGGGCGGCGGGGCGGGGACGGGCACGGGGAGGGAGCGGCCGCGGCCCGGGGCUGGCGCCUCAGGAAGGAGCCGCCUGGGAGCGGGGGGCGAUCGCUCGGGGCCCGCGCGGGGUCGGCUCUGAGGGGGAGCUGCGCGGCCCCGGGCGGCCACCGCUGCCCUCUGUGGGCGGAGGGGAGCAGCGGCCCCCCGGGGCCCCUCUUUCCCCCCGGGGCCCUCCCAGGCUCGCACCCACCCCCCCACAAACCUCCCCCCCCCGUAGCGGCAGCAGGUGAACGCCGGCCCGAGACCUGUUGCGAUUUGGGUUCAUUUCGGCCGCGUUUCGUUCAGCAGCCGGGACUUGAGAAUUGUUUCAGCCCGCACGCUCGCAGCGUGCUUCCCCCGGCCGCCCUCGUUGCUCGUGGCCUUUUUUCUUUUUUUUUUUCGAUUCCCCACCUCGCUCCCCGGCCUGGUGGAGCUGAGGUGGGCGUUGUGCGGCCUGGUCAGGGGGCUGAAGGGUUACCCAGCCGGCCGCCGGCUGUUUUGGUGCUCUUUGGCUCCUCGCCCAACCCUUCCCAGGUGCUGGUGUUGCAUCAGAGCAGGCACUACCACCGCCCGGCUCGGCGUUUUCACCUCGCCGCUGCCGUUCUCCUCCGCACGCUGUACUUGGACCGCUCAGGCGUUUCCCACGGCAUGUUAAUUUUUUUUUUCCCUCUGUGGUCUCCAGGAUUUCUUCCCAUGCCUGGCAACUGUGUUCCUCCGGGAUGUUUUGCCCUUGUCCUCUCAUCCAGGGUGGUGCCAGGAGCAGAGGAGCAGCUCGCGGAGUUAACGCGGCUCUUCCUGCGCCCUGGCGUCGUCCCCUCGAGUGCUCGGAGCAGCACAGGGCUUCAGGUUCCUGACCGCGACACCACGAGCUCAGUGGGGUGUGCGUCACUCCGCUCUGCCCUAACCUAA
rnacentral:lncRNA from 1 species